GCUAGCGGUGGGGCAUAUUGCCCGGUGCUGUAAUGUAGCAGAAAGCAUUGAAUACUUAAGCAAAUUAUACAAUUUUUAUCGUUUCUUCACUAGAUACAGCUGCUUAGAGGUUCAUUUGAGAUAAUAAGUACAAAAACCAGUGCAGAAUUUUUGAUUCAAAGUGAAGUUCAAGUACAGUGAUUUGAAAGAUUCAACGGAUUUAAAUGAUUUCAACGAAGUUUUAGUUUGAUUAACGCCGCGUUUGACGGGUUGAGCGGUUGCGAUUCGGACGUGCCUUUUUCUUGGAUGCCGAGAGGACUAUGUGAGGGAUUUAUGUGUAAUAUUGCACGAUUGUGCUACUGAUUUCCUCGAGGCAGGCGCUCGACCAGUGGAAAGAUAUGGUUCUGAGAUUAAUGCGGUGUCACUAAGUUUUUAUUAUACGCUAAACAAGCAACUCUCGAAGACAGAAAUAGACUAAAUUUUUUGAGUCGUCUAGAAUCGGAAGAGAUAACCGUCAUUACGUAAUUUGCAUGUGAUUUCAUGCCGUGCUCAAGUCAGUUAAACGCUCUGCGACGUGUGCUCUCCCAACUGUUUUGAGGAGGAAUUCUUAGAUGUGUCGUCACCGCGAAUUCGAAAGAUGU